GGCUUAUAAUUGAAGUCUAGUAUGAAUGGGAACACGGGAAUAUUCUGUCUUUAAUAUAUAAAAGAAAUUACUAAUUAAGUGAAAAUUCUUAAAAGUAAGAAAAUAGACGAGAAGACCCUAGAAAUUUUUUUUAAUUUGAUUUUGUUGGGGCGACAGGGUAACAAAAAACUUACCUAAAGUAAUAGGAAAUUUUUUAGUGGUGUAAUUAAAUUACUCUAGGGAUAACAGCAUAAUAUUUUAAAGGUUGUGACCUCGAUGUUGGACUAGGA
rnacentral:rRNA from 1 species